GGAAUAUUGCACAAUGGGCGCAAGCCUGAUGCAGCCAUGCCGCGUGUAUGAAGAAGGCCUUCGGGUUGUAAAGUACUUUCAGCGGGGAGGAAGGCGACGGGGUUAAUAACCCUGUCGAUUGACGUUACCCGCAGAAGAAGCACCGGCUAACUACGUGCCAGCAGCCGCGGUAAUACGUAGGUGGCAAGCGUUGUCCGGAUUUAUUGGGCGUAAAGCGAGCGCAGGCGGUCUUUUAAGUCUAAUGUGAAAGGCUUCGGCUUAACCGAAGAAGUGCAUUGGAAACUGGAAGACUUGAGUGCAGAAGAGGACAGUGGAACUCCAUGUGUAGCGGUGAAAUGCGUAGAUAUAUGGAAGAACACCAGUGGCGAAGGCGGCUGUCUGGUCUGUAACUGACGCUGAGGAUCGAAAGCAUGGGUAGCGAACA
rnacentral:rRNA from 1 species